rnacentral:tRNA from 1 species
UGUAAUUUAGUGUAAAUGCACUUUAGUCUUUGAUACUAAAAGUUGAAUUAAAAUUUCAAAAUUGCAA